rnacentral:rRNA from 1 species
AGUGGAUGCGAGCAUCUUUGUGGUCAAGUUGUUAAGGGCACAUGGUGGAUGUCUUGGCUUCAGGAGCCGAUGAAGGACGUAGGAGGCUGCGAUAAGCCUCGGGGAGCUGUCAACCGAGCUGUGAUCCGAGGAUUUCCGAAUGGGGAAACCCAGCACCAGUGAUGUGGUGUUACCCGCACCUGAAUAUAUAGGGUGUGUGGAGGGAACGCGGGGAAGUGAAACAUCUCAGUACCCGUAGGAAGAGAAAACAACCGUGAUUCCGUGAGUAGUGGCGAGCGAAAGCGGAAGAGGCUAAACCGUGCAUAUGUCAAGCUGUCAGGCGUUGUGUGUGCGGUGUUGUGGGACCCA